UACGUAGGUGACAAGCGUUGUCCGGAUUUACUGGGCGUAAAGAGCGCGCAGGCGGUCGUUCAAGUCGAGUGUGAAAGCCCCCGGCUCAACUGGGGAGGGUCAUUCGAUACUGAUCGACUCGAAGGCAGGAGAGGGAAGUGGAAUUCCCGGUGUAGUGGUGAAAUUCGUAGAUAUUCGCAAGAACACCAGUGGCGAAGGCGGCUCACUGGCCCGAUACUGACGCUGAGGCACGAAAGCGUGGGGAGCAAACAGG
rnacentral:rRNA from 1 species